rnacentral:rRNA from 1 species
UACGGAGGGUGCGAGCGUUGUCCGGAAUCAUUGGGCGUAAAGGGCGCGUAGGUGGCCCGGUCAGUUCGUGGUGAAAGCGCGGGGCUCAACCCUGCGUCGGCCAUGAAUACUGCCGCGGCUGGAGCACUGUAGAGGCAGGCGGAAUUCCGGGUGUAGCGGUGGAAUGGCGUAGAGAUCCGGAAGAACACCGGUGGCGAAGGCGGCUCUCUGGACCGUAACUGACGCUGAGGCGCGGAAAGCGUGGGGAGCAAACAGGG